rnacentral:lncRNA from 1 species
ACACACAUGGUUACUUAUAAACAAACUAGAUAUUAACCUCAUGGAUUUGACACGGAUUUAAAUCAUAAAACCAAAAAGGUAAAUAAAAAUUAAUUUAUUGUGUGUCCAUACAAUAAUAUUAUUGCAAAGAAAUUUUGACCAUAUCUGUUUAUACAUUUUAAAGAUAUCGACAGUCAUUUGUAUUUUAAAUCAUAAUAAUUUAUACCAUGUGUUAUGGUUGGAUUUUACUUGUUUAUUUUAAGCUUGUUAUAAUUCAGGCUAUUGGGUUUCCCUUUGAAUUGUUUCAUAUUUUGUUAUAUGUGGUUGUCUUUGGUACACGUGGCUGACUAUACUGGUUUUCUAAUUUUUGAAGGCUGUAUUACGGUAACAUGACCUAUAAUGUCCAUUGCUUAAAUUAUUUAUUUUGGACACUGUUAUUGAUCUCAUUGGCAAUCAUGCACAUUCUCCUCAUCUGAUAUCUAGUAUGGACACUUGAUCUUAGAUUGGAAUGCAUGCAACAAUUGUAGAUUGUUUUUACACGUAUAUUUUCAAAUAUUUCUAUCAAAAGAUUUCCUAAUAUCCUAAUUUCCCCAUACUUUUAAUUUAUUGGAACUCAUCACAGUGUAAAUAUUUAAAAAUGUUAUAGCUAGCCUUUAUAGAUUUGUCAUUAUUGAAAGUUGUAUAAAUGUAGUUAUUUAUUUAAAGCCUCAAUAAUAAAAAAAUAAAAAAUAGAAAAAACAAAAAAAAACUCAUAACGGAGUUUAUCUGUUACAUAUUUGUAUCUCGUUCAUUUUUUUUUAUAACAAUAAGGCUGUUAGUUUUCUCGUUUGAAUUGUUUUCCAUUGUAAAUUCGGGGCCUUUUAUAGCUGACUGUGCGGUAUGGGGUUUGCUCAUUGUUGCAGACCUUACAGUGACCUAUAGUUGUAAAUUUAUGUGUCAUUUUGGUCUCUUGUGGAGAGUUGUUUCAUUGGCAAUCAUAUUUUCUUUUUUAUAUUGAUUAAAUCAUGCUUGAAAGGUAGAAAAAACAAAUAUAUCAAAAUAUUCCAAUAAGCACCUUCAAUGAUACGGAGGGCUUAUUUUGAGAUUUGAGUUAAUCACGGAAGAUUUUAAAAAAUCAAUUUAUAUGGUUUCAGCAAUUACAUGUAUUCAAUACUAGUGGCAGGAUCGUCAGGAUGCGGAAAAACAAGCUUGGUCAAUCGUUUUGUUGUGAGUACAAUUACAGUAAUUUGAAUCUAUACUUCAAACAAAUGUGAUAAAUGAAACUACAUGUCCUUGAAUGAAUUGACCAUUAUGAUGACCUAACACAUACAAAUAGUACCAAGUUUCAUAACAGUGAAGACACUGAAUGUCUGUGUUUUUAAUUGUUAGAAAAAACGCUUCAUAAGACUUAAAAGAUUUUUAUAUGAAUCCAAAAGCUGUAAAUGCACGCAAAUAUGUCGAGAUAUAACCUCAUUUACCAGAAAUUUUAAAAGUUUUUACGGGAGACAUUUAAAUAACAUUAGAUUUCACUGUUUUACUAUUUCGUAUUUGAGAUGUCUCAUGCCAGUUUUGUUUCAACUCUUAAUUUUUCAAACAUGUUAGAGGUUACUUGCAUAUAGCCCAGUGCUUUGAUUUUGACUGUUUUUGGGGUCUUACUAAUACAUGUAGGAUAAUGGUUGUAAUUUUUCAGUAACAGUAAAAUUAGCUUAACCGUGCAAUAUUAUACAUGUAUGUAUGUAUACAGUCGAGCUGUAUUGCAUAUAUCUUGUUAUUUAUGUCAUUGGGUAAUUGUCUUAAAAACAGGCAUUUUCUUUUCAUGCUUUACCAGUAUUUAUUCAAUUUGAUGAAAUUAUUCGAGCCUCAAUGUGUACUUAAAAAAAAAUGUACAUGUAUGCAAACUUUUCUGUUUUGACAAUGACCCACGAAUAAACGAAUUAAACAUAGUGUAGCCAGUUAUAGGACUGCAAUAAGAAUCGUUGAGGUUCGUGUUGAUCAGUCUUUAGUUUUCUAUGUUAUGUCUUUUGUACUAUUAUUUGUUUGUUUGUCUUUUCUUUUGAGCCAUUGCGUUGUUAGAUUUUUUUCUAUUUAUGAGUUUGAAUGCCCCUCUCGUAUCUUUUGCCCCUCUUUUGAAAUGAUUUGUUUAUUCGAAUUUUUUUCAGGGAGAAAAAUUCCAGAAAGAACAUGAACCUACACAACAUAUGAAUAGUGUAAGUAUAAAAUGUUAAUGCAUUCUCUUUUCGUCCUUGUUUUAUAAAAAAGGAGAAGAUGUGGUACUAUGAUUGCUAAUGCGACAACUCUCCACAAGAGACCAACAUGACACAGAAAUAAAUGCUCGUUCGACAAAAUUUGAAUCCUAUAUGAAUAUGAAUACUUUAUUCUCUUAAAACAAUUGUUACAGAGAACAUAUCCAUAUUACCAAUAUACAAACUUAUAUAUAGCAUGUGUGAAUUGCAUAUACAUGUAUAAAGUAAUAGUACUAAGAAGUUCUAACCUGGAGGAACGAGCUUCUCUUAGACGUUCUUAAUAAAUUUACAUAGUUUUUCUAAUAUAAUUACAUUGUUGGAGGCAAAAAGCUGUUCAAACUUAUAAAUGUUACAUUUUCAUGACAAAACGGGGGAAUCAGAUUUAUUCUAUCAUUGACAAAGUACAUGUAGCUACAUGACAUAAUAUAUGUAAACACAUUCUGAUUACGUAAAAGGAAAGUGAUACAGCAUAUUACUUUGUGAAAUACUAAAAUGACACCCAAAAUAAAUAAUUUGAUUUCGGAUGUAAUACGUCUUCUAUUUGAAGGAAAGUUUUUUUUUGUCUAUCUGAGCAUAGACAUAAUUUUGUCAUGUGACUGUGACGCCAUCAACGUUUUUCUUUCAGAGAACAGAGAAACAUACAAUAUAAAUACAAAUACAAUAAUAGUUUAAGUAAACAAAUACAGAACAGUAUUCUAAAAUGAAGUACAAAAUUAUGACGGCAUAUAUUUCACUAGAUUUUUAACUCAAUAGAAGGAAACCAGGACGAUGAUUAUAAUAGUUUACAUUUACAUAGAGGGACUAACUUUUUUUAUUAUUAAUACACUUAAUUAAUAAACACAGUUUUCUCACUGGUGGUUCUUUUGUAGACGAAACGCGCGUCUGGCGAACAUAUAAAAUUGAUCAUGGUAUCUAUGAUGAGUUUAUUUAUAAGUAAACGUACGAAAGUGUUUGCUUGUUAUAAAAUACACUAAUAAAACACGAUUCUAAAAUAUAUUGCCAAUUUUCAAAAAAGAAAAGGUAAAAUAUUAAAUACAUGAAAAGGAGAGUACUAUAUGAAAAGAGUUUUAAUGAAAAAAAAAAGGUUUCAUAAUAUAAGUUGUAUGUAUUUUUUAUUCCAAUAGACGUCGCAUACAGUAGAAGUAAAUGGAAAAACAGUUCGUAUGAUGCUUGUAAGUAUACUUUGUCAGUAUUCAAAAUAAGUUGACUAGGUUUGUUAGUAUUUCUACCGAAGAUCUCUCCGGCAGUCAACCGACUUCCUCAACGAAAAAUAACUGACCACUACGGAAAAGAAACAAUAGUGCUGAAAGUAGCGAUAAAUUAAAAUUAAUCAAUUAAUCAAUACACAAAAUUAAUUCUUACAUGUGUUGUCGCUUAUUCGAAAAUAAGACUUAUGAUUAAUUAAUUUCAGCUGCAUUUGUAGAUUUCACAUUUUGCAGCAGUAGCGCAUACUUCUAUGUUUUCUACUCUCGCAUUGCGUAUUCAAAUCUUUAUAAGGAUGUUCGCCCCUAUAUUUAAAAAAAAAUUAACAAGAUAUUCGGAAUUUAUUUAUAUAGUCCCAACAAAAACUUUGCCCGCAUACCCUUGCUCUAUUAACAUGAUUUUGUUACGGACAUUUUUGUAUAAAUAAAAGAAAGAUUUUUUGAAAAUCUUAUAAAUUCUUAGCUUUGUCAUAGUUUUUAAAAGAGAAAAGGAUGCCGAUGUUGAUUUUGAGAAAAAUCAAGAGAGAAUCAAUUCCAACCGAUUUUUCAAUUUAAAAUUAUUAUACUAGUAUCUAAAAAAACUUAGAUACUAUCAAUUUAUUUUUUGAAAAUCUUGUUAUUUUGGAACAGAGGAGCAGUAUCCUUAAUACGUUACCCCGAACAAUACACGUUCGAAAUAUACGGACUUCAUUUAAUAUGAAUGUGAUCCUGAUAUAGAAACAACCAAACAAGAUUUAUGUGCAUGCAAAUCGACUUAAAUCGACACUUUAUAGAUUUUCCAGUAACCACCACGAAUUGGUUGACCCUUACUCCGUGACUCUACUCAUUAGCAACAUGUUUUUAGCGAUGUUUUAGAUAUGUAUAUACCAAAUUUUCAAAUGCGUUAAGUUAAGUGCUUCAUUGACAUUCUUUAAAGUGUCAUAUAUGAAUAAAACAAAGCAACUUCAUUAGAAACGCAAAAUCGAUACACAUAAAAUGGAAUCAAGAGUUGUUGCUUGUGUCUAAGAUAAAAGAAGACAAUCCCUUCUGUAUAAACAUGAUACACUAAAUUAUUCGAAAAGUUAUCUUUGUGUUAAUUUGUACAUAGUAAGGGACGACAUCAAAAGUUCAAUGUAGGAUAAAAAACUUAAUUCACAUAGUUUUUUCACUGACCCCCCCCCCUAACCCCCUGUUAACUUAAUUUGGGAAAAAUUGAUAUGUAAAAAUCGAUUUUAGAUAUACAAAACUUGCAGAACUUUAACCCCAUCCCCAAGCUACUUGAUUUAAGUUUUUUUUUAUAUCCUACAUCGAUCUUUUGAUGUCGUCCCUAAAAUAAAGACAUACAUCUGGCUAUUGAAAUUAAAAAAAAAAUGAUUUGCAUUUUGUCAUCAUGGUCAUGUUGGGGCUUUUUACCACUUAGGUUGUUCUUCAAGAUGACCAAGUUUAUGAUUUUCAUCAAGUCAGAUAUUCAAUAUGUAUAGCAAUGAUGUUUCAGAAUGAUACAGAUGGGGAUAGAAAAUACGAGAGAUUCUCUAUCAAUUAUUAUUCUACAAUGGACGCAACUGUUAUCAUGUAUGAUAUUUCCAAUCAGG